AAGUGAUAUGAUGGUAUACCAUCUUUCGGGACUGACUCUAACAAUGGAGACUAACCUUAAACCUACUGAUCACUU
ensembl:snoRNA small nucleolar RNA SNORD2